CACGUAGGGCGCGAGCGUUGUCCGGAAUUAUUGGGCGUAAAGAGCUCGUAGGCGGCCUGUUGCGUCCGCUGUGAAAGCCCGGGGCUUAACCCCGGGUCGGCAGUGGAUACUGGCAGGCUAGAGGUAGGUAGGGGAGAAUGGAAUUCCCGGUGUAGCGGUGAAAUGCGCAGAUAUCGGGAGGAACACCGGUGGCGAAGGCGGUUUUCUGGACAGUGACUGACGCUGAGGCGCGAAAGCUAGGGGAGCAAACGGG
rnacentral:rRNA from 1 species